CGGUGAAUUCAAAUUACCGUAACUUUUCGAUCCGAGCUCCGAUUGUCGCACCGUUUGUGACCACACGUCCACCGCGUCGAGCUCUACGUUUCUACCAGAACAAUUUCAUAGAUGCAGGUCGAGAGGCAUCUCGUUAGGCGUCUGGACCCUUGAAGCGAAGUAGUUACUGGGCUAUUUUGUUGUACAGUGAUGUAUAUAUAUGUACUUAGCUUUCUCUCUGCAUAAUUUGUUCUUUUUGAUCAUCUUAGAGGUUUAUGAAGAGGUAGGAUUGUGUAUAUGUACUUUUGGGUUUUGGGAUAUAUAUGUAUAUACGUGUAAAUAUUCUCCAGCCAGUCUUGACUUUGCAGGCUAAGUUAGGAGCUUGUUAUUUUGUAUCCUUGGCUCUCUAUUCC